UGUUAUAUGGUGUAACGCACGGUGGCUUUUCACGCCACAAGAACUAUUCAUUAGUUAUAGCAA
rnacentral:tRNA from 1 species